rnacentral:lncRNA from 12 species
AGUGAGCGCUCAGUCAUUAUCUGUCACUUGACUGGAGGUUGUCAGGCCCAUCUUGCAAGACAACUCCUUUCUCCCUGGAAGGAGGAGCCCCUUAGAGUCCGUUGGUUAACGGGAAAAGUGCUUACUCUGGGAGGAAGGCGGGGCAAGCCGGAACGAGCUCUCGCUGGGAGCCCGCAUAUUCCCUCACUCGGUGUUUCCGAACCCCAUUCUUCGCCUGGGAGAGGUGAGGGGGUUCAAGGGUACUUGGAACCUGUCCCUUUGGUGGAGACGCGCAUCCGCCUCUGGCCGCCGCUCCCGGCUGAUCCUGCGGAGUGGAGCGCCCCCACCCCCCGCGACCCGGGUUUCGCUCCGGCUCCCUCCGUUCUGCAAAGGGAGGGGGGAGCGAGGGGAGCCUUGCACGCCAGUCUUCCCGGAGCUGCAGACGAGGAGCCCUGCGCCCUGGGGAGCCUCUGGGCGGCUUCCCCUCCUCGGCUGCGCGGGCGUGCGGGCUCUCCCCGCCACCCCCACCCGCGGCUCGCCCUAGCUCCCUCCCUCCAGCCCGGCCGGCCGGAGCGCGCACACCGGGGCUCCGGCACGUGGGCGCGCGGGAGGCGGCGGCCGCUGCUGCCGCUGCCGGAGCCCGAGCCCGAGCCGGAGCCCGAGCCGGAGCCCGAGCCCGAGCCCGAGCGAGCCGGCGAGAUCGCCCUCCAUGCUGCGGGCUCUGCGGUCGCCUUCCGCUCAGCCUCUGGCCCAAGCCCAGCCCCGCGAGCCCUGCGAGCCAGUGAAACCGCGGACGGGAGGAGGACUCGGACAGGAGGAGGGGCGCGGCGGGCCGGGGCGAGCCGGGCUCUGAGCGAGGGGUGCAGCCCGGUCUCGCCAGCUCUCCGCUCCCGCCGCGGCUGGGGGUUCCAGGCAGCGCGAUGCCGCUGGGCUCCUUCUAGGCGGCGGCCAGCGGAGGCUUCCCGCAGCCUCUCGGCCCGCGGCGGCCCCCAUUCCGCCGGCGAGUCCCUUGCCUAUCCCAGAGGAUUCGCCGGGCCGCUCGAGCCGAAGCGAGCGCGAAGUCCGAAGUCCACCCCCGGCGCCGCCAACUUCCCCGGGAGCCCCUCGCCCCGCUGCAGCCUGCGCAGCGCUGGGAGCGAUGCGCCCCCAGCCGGGCGGCGCGCCCUCUGCCAAGUCGCCACCCAUGGGAUCGACUGCCCUCGGCUGCCCCGCUUGGAGCGCGUAGCCUUAGCCGCGUGGCCCGGGAGACGAGCGAGACGCCCAGGCGUUGCACGGAUUCCACGCGCGCCAGUCUGCGGGGUCCCCUCCGGGGGCGGCGUUCACGCCCAGGGGUGA